rnacentral:rRNA from 1 species
AACGAACGCUGGCGGCAGGCUUAACACGUGCAAGUCGAGCGAGACCUUCGGGUCUAGCGGCGGACGGGUGAGUAACGCGUGGGAACGUGCCCUUCUCUACGGAAUAGCCCCGGGAAACUGGGAGUAAUACCGUAUACGCCCUUUGGGGGAAAGAUUUAUCGGAGAAGGAUCGGCCCGCGUUGGAUUAGGUAGUUGGUGGGGUAAUGGCCCACCAAGCCGACGAUCCAUAGCUGGUUUGAGAGGAUGAUCAGCCACACUGGGACUGAGACACGGCCCAGACUCCUACGGGAGGCAGCAGUGGGGAAUCUUAGACAAUGGGGGCAACCCUGAUCGAGCCAUGCCGCGUGAGUGAUGAAGGCCUUAGGGUUGUAAAGCUCUUUCAGCUGGGAAGAUAAUGACGGUACCAGCAGAAGAAGCCCCGGCUAACUCCGUG